CCCCGGCUGCCUUGCAGGGCUGCCCUCGGAGAUGAGGGAGCCGCUCCGGCCAGGCAGGGAGACUUCUCCCUCGGCUCACUCAGAGGAUAAAGUUCAAGUUCUCCAACCUGACCCACACAGGCUCCUUCCUCCCACCAGUCUCUUUCUCCCCAUGGAGGCUGGUUGACCUGCCUGGUCCUAGAUGCUCCAAUCACAUGCUGUUCUCUCACCUCUGGGCCUCAGAGUCCCUUUUUGGACAGCUCCUCCAGGAAGCCUUCCCUGACUAUUCUCCACAAUACUUUCCAUUAUCUUUGUUCAUUGAUUUUGUUAUGUAUCUUUAAUAUCUUUGAAAUAUAUAUAAAUCACUGAGAAAAAGGUGAAUACCUCAAAUGAAAUUGGGGAAGGAAAAUAAUCAGAUAAUCUAUAGGAAAAAUACAAAUAAAUAUUUGA